AACGUACGCUGGCGGCACGCUUAACACAUGCAAGUCGAACGAAGUAGCAAUACUUAGUGGCAGACGGGUGAGUAACAUGUGGGUAUCUGCCCUUUGGCCUGGAAUAACACGGGGAAACUUGUGCUAAUACCGGAUAAGUCUUUACGGAGAAAGCUUUAUGCACCAUUGGAUGAGCCCGCACUUGAUUAGUUUGUUGGUGGGGUAAUGGCCUACCAAGACUGUGAUCAAUAGCUGAUUUGAGAGGAUGAUCAGCCACAUUGGGACUGAGACACGGCCCAAACUCCUACGGGAGGCAGCAGUGGGGAAUCUUGCACAAUGGAGGAAACUCUGAUGCAGCGAUGCCGCGUGAGUGAAGAAGGCCCUUGGGUUGUAAAGCUCUUUCGUCGGGGAAGAAAAUGACUGUACCCGAAUAAGAAGGUCCGGCUAACUUCGUGCCAGCAGCCGCGGUAAUACGAAGGGACCUAGCGUAGUUCGGAAUUACUGGGCUUAAAGAGUUCGUAGGUGGUUGAAAAAGUUAGUGGUGAAAUCCCAGAGCUUAACUCUGGAACUGCCAUUAAAACUUUUCAGCUAGAGUAUGAUAGAGGAAAGCAGAAUUUCUAGUGUAGAGGUGAAAUUCGUAGAUAUUAGAAAGAAUACCAAUUGCGAAGGCAGCUUUCUGGAUCAUUACUGACACUGAGGAACGAAAGCAUGGGUAGCGAAGAGGAUUAGAUACCCUCGUAGUCCAUGCCGUAAACGAUGUGUGUUAGACGUUGGAAAUUUAUUUUCAGUGUCGCAACGAAAGCGAUAAACACACCGCCUGGGGAGUACGACCGCAAGGUUAAAACUCAAAUGAAUUGACGGGGACCCGCACAAGUAGUGGAGCAUGUGGUUUAAUUCGAAGAUACGCGCAGAACCUUACCAACACUUGACAUGUUCGUCGCGACUCUAAGAGAUUAGAGUUUUCGGUUCGGCCGGACGAAACACAGGUGCUGCAUGGCUGUCGUCAGCUCGUGUCGUGAGAUGUUGGGUUAAGUCCCGCAACGAGCGCAACCCUCACUUUUAGUUGCCAUCAUUAAGUUGGGCACUCUGAAAGAACUGCCAGUGAUAAGCUGGAGGAAGGUGGGGAUGACGUCAAGUCCUCAUGGCCCUUACGUGUUGGGCUACACACGUGCUACAAUGGUAUCUACAACAGGAAGCAAGACUGCGAGGUCAAGCAAAUCCUUAAAAGAUACCUCAGUUCGGAUUGCACUCUGCAACUCGAGUGCAUGAAGCUGGAAUUACUAGUAAUCGUGGAUCAGCGUGCCACGGUGAAAUGCGUUCCCGGGUCU
rnacentral:rRNA from 1 species